rnacentral:rRNA from 1 species
CUCGUAGGCGGGUUCGUCGCGUCCGGUGUGAAAGUCCAUCGCUUAACGGUGGAUCUGCGCCGGGUACGGGCGGGCUGGAGUGCGGUAGGGGAGACUGGGAAUUCCCGGUGUAACGGUGGAAUGUGUAGAUAUCGGGAAGAACACCAAUGGCGAAGGCAGGUCUCUGGGCCGUUACUGACGCUGAGGAGCGAAAGCGUGGGGAGCGAACA